rnacentral:rRNA from 1 species
CUCCGGUUGAUCCUGCCGGACCCGACUGCUAUCAGAGUGGGACUAAGCCAUGCGAGUCAACGCAGCAAUGCGUGGCAUACGGCUCAGUAACACGUAGUCAACAUGCCCAGGGGACGUGGAUAACCUCGGGAAACUGAGGAUAAACCGCGAUAGGCCAAGAUUUCUGGAAUGGAUAAUGGCUGAAAUCUAUAUGGCCCCUGGAUUGGACUGCGGCCGAUCAGGCUGUUGGUGAGGUAAUGGCCCACCAAACCUGUAACCGGUACGGGCUCUGAGAGGAGGAGCCCGGAGAUGGGCACUGAGACAAGGGCCCAGGCCCUAUGGGGCGCAGCAGGCGCGAAACCUCUGCAAUAGGCGAAAGCUUGACAGGGUUACUCUGAGUGAUGUCCGUUAAGGGCAUCUUUUGGCACUUCUAAAAAUAGUGUAGAAUAAGGGGUGGGCAAGUCUGGUGUCAGCCGCCGCGGUAAUACCAGCACCCCGAGUGGUCGGGACGAUUAUUGGGCCUAAAGCAUCCGUAGCCGGUUCUGCAAGUCUUCCGUUAAAUCCACCUGCUCAACAGAUGGGCUGCGGAGGAUACUACAGGGCUAGGAGGCGGGAGAGGCAAGUGGUACUCAGUGGGUAGGGGUAAAAUCCUCUGAUCCACUGAAGACCACCAGUGGCGAAGGCGGCUUGCCAGAACGCGCUCGACGGUGAGGGAUGAAAGCUGGGGGAGCAAACCGGAUUAGAUACCCGGGUAGUCCCAGCUGUAAACGAUGCAGACUCGGUGAUGGGUUGGCUUCGAGCCAACCCAGUGCCGCAGGGAAGCCGUUAAGUCUGCCGCCUGGGGAGUACGGUCGCAAGACUGAAACUUAAAGGAAUUGGCGGGGGAGCA